AUGAUGCCCAGCUUGCUGGGCGGAUUAGUGGCGAACGGGUGAGUAAUACGUGAGUAACCUGCCCUUGACUCUGGGAUAAGCCUGGGAAACUGGGUCUAAUACUGGAUACUACCUCUUACCGCAUGGUGGGUGGUGGAAAGGGUUUUACUGGUUUUGGAUGGGCUCACGGCCUAUCAGCUUGUUGGUGGGGUAAUGGCUCACCAAGGCGACGACGGGUAGCCGGCCUGAGAGGGUGACCGGCCACACUGGGACUGAGACACGGCCCAGACUCCUACGGGAGGCAGCAGUGGGGAAUAUUGCACAAUGGGCGGAAGCCUGAUGCAGCGACGCCGCGUGAGGGAUGACGGCCUUCGGGUUGUAAACCUCUUUCAGUAGGGAAGAAGCGAGAGUGACGGUACCUGCAGAAGAAGCGCCGGCUAACUACGUGCCAGCAGCCGCGGUAAUACGUAGGGCGCAAGCGUUGUCCGGAAUUAUUGGGCGUAAAGAGCUCGUAGGCGGUUUGUCGCGUCUGCUGUGAAAGCCCGGGGCUCAACCCCGGGUCUGCAGUGGGUACGGGCAGACUAGAGUGCAGUAGGGGAGACUGGAAUUCCUGGUGUAGCGGUGAAAUGCGCAGAUAUCAGGAGGAACACCGAUGGCGAAGGCAGGUCUCUGGGCUGUUACUGACGCUGAGGAGCGAAAGCAUGGGGAGCGAACAGGAUUAGAUACCCUGGUAGUCCAUGCCGUAAACGUUGGGCACUAGGUGUGGGGGACAUUCCACGUUUUCCGCGCCGUAGCUAACGCAUUAAGUGCCCCGCCUGGGGAGUAC
rnacentral:rRNA from 1 species